UACGUAGGGGGCAAGCGUUGUCCGGAUUUAGUUGGGCGUAAAGAGCUCGUAGGCGGUUUGGGUAAGUCUGGUGUGAAAUCUCCACGCUCAACGUGGAGGGGCCACCCGAUACUGCCAUGACUGGAGUCCGGUAGAGGAGUGUGGAAUUCCCGGUGUAGCGGUGAAUGCGCAGGAUAAUCGGGAGGAACACCCGUAGCGAAGGCGGCACUCUGGGCCGGAACUGACGCUGAGGA
rnacentral:rRNA from 1 species